GUUGUUUUUACAAUGCUUUAGGCACAUUUUAGGUUGUUUUUACAAUGCUUUAGGCACAUUUUAGGUUGUUUUUACAAUGGUUUAGGCACAUUUUAGGUUGUUUUUACAAUGCUUUAGGCACAUUUUAGGUUGUUUUUACAAUGCUUUAGGCACAUUUUAGGUUGUUUUUACAAUGGUUUAGGCACAUUUUAGGUUGUUUUUACAAUGCUUUAUGCACAUUUUAGGUUGUUUUUACAGUGCUUUAUGCACAUUUUAGGUUGUUUUUACAAUGCUUUAUGCACAUUUUAGGUUGUUUUUACAAUGCUUUAUGCACAUUUUAGGUUGUUUUUACAAUGCUUUAUGCACAUUUUAGGUUGUUUUUACAAUGCUUUAUGCACAUUUUAGGUUGUUUUUACAAUGCUUUAGGUACAUUUUAGGUUGUUUUUACAGUGCUUAACCCACAUUUGAGGUUGUUUUUACAAUGCUUUAUGCACAUGUUAGGUUGUUUUUACAAUGCUUUAGAUACAUUUUAGGUUGUUUUUACAAUGCUUUAUGCACAUUUUAGGUUGUUUUUACAGUGCUUUAGGCACAUUUUAGGUUGUUUUUACAAUGGUUUAGGUACAUUUUAGGUUGUUUUUACAGUGCUUUAUGCACAUUUGAGGUUGUUUUUACAGUGCUUUAGGCUCAUUUUAGGUUGUUUUUACAAUGCUUUAUGGACAUUUUAGGUUGUUUUUACAAUGGUUUAGGUACAUUUUAGGUUGUUUUUACAAUGCUUUAGGUACAUUUUAGUUUGUUUUUACAAUGCUUUAGGCACAUUUUAGGUUGUUUUUACAAUGCUU